rnacentral:misc_RNA from 1 species
CUGAGUGAGGGCUCACGCCCGACCUCCAACCCUUUGUGAACACAUCUUGUUGCUUCGGGGGCGACCCUGCCGGCACUACGUCGCCGGGCGCCCCCGAAGGUCUCCAAACACUGCAUCUUUGCGUCGGAGUUUAAACAAAUUAAACA